rnacentral:rRNA from 1 species
GACGAACGCUGGCGGCGUGCUUAACACAUGCAAGUCGAACGGGCCUUGUCCCCUUUUUUUUUGGGGGUGGGGUUAGUGGCGAACGGGUGAGUAACACGUGAGUAACCUGCCCCUCACUUCUGGAUAACCGCUUGAAAGGGUGGCUAAUACGGGGUGUUCUGGCCUGCUCGCAUGGGUGGGUUUGGAGAGAUUCGACCGGUUUGGUUGUUUUGGUGGGGGAUGGGCUCGCGGCCUAUCAGCUUGUUGGUGGGGUGAUGGCCUGCCAAGGCUUUGACGGGUAGCCGGCCUGAGAGGGUGGGCGGUCACACUGGGACUGAGACACGGCCCAGACUCCUACGGGAGGCAGCAGUGGGGAAUAGUGCACAAUGGGCGCAAGCCUGAUGCAGCGACGCCGCGUGAGGGAUGGAGGCCUUCGGGUUGUGAACCUCUUUCGCCAGUGAAGAAGGUCCUGCUCUUUGUGGUGGGGUUGACGGUAGCUGGGUUAAUGAAGCGCCGGCUAACUACGU